AUGCUUCUCAUACGAGUGCAGGCCAUGGA
rnacentral:piRNA from 1 species